rnacentral:misc_RNA from 1 species
AGCAGCCGCGGUAAUUCCAGCUCCAAUAGCGUAUAUUAAAGUUGUUGCAGUUAAAAAGCUCGUAGUUGAAUUUCGGGGUCGGUAGAUUGGUCAUGCCUCUGGUAUGCACUGGUCUUACUGGCUCCUCCUUCCUGAUGAACCGUAAUGCCAUUAAUUUGGUGUUGCGGGGAGACUGGACUGUUACUUUGAAAAAUUAGAGUGUUUAAAGCAGGCUAACGCUUGAAUACAUUAGCAUGGAAUAAUGAAAUAGGACGUUCGAUCUUAUUUUGUUGGUUUCUAAGAUUGACGUAAUGAUUAAUAGGGAUAGUUGGGGGCAUUAGUAUUCAAUCGUCAGAGGUGAAAUUCUUGGAUUUAUUGAAGACUAACUACUGCGAAAGCAUUUGCCAAGGAUGUU